GAGGGUCCUGCAGUAUCUUGGCUGUGCCAAGGACUGCACAUUUCUGGACUGAGAUGUCUGAUGUUGUUCCUGGGAUCUGUUGUAGCCACUGCUCCAGUUUGGGGGUUACUGCCCCGAGGGCCCCGAUGACCACAGGCACCACUGUCAAUGAAAGCCAUGGAAACGACGUUAGCGUUGGCAACCCUAUAAAAAGCCCUGACCUUCAGAAUUCUUUCCCUUUUCGACGGGACUGAAAGAGAGAGACGCCUGAAGGAGAAUUAAAAGCCUCAGAAGGUUUGAGCUGGUUGAAAAGUCUGCUUAGCAAAACUUGCUGAAGAAGCCUGUGGUUAACAAACCUGCGAAAGACGGUUCCUGGCCAGGAGAAGCUCCAGCUGGGUGACCAGCCGGAAGCUCAUGCGAUGGCGCUUCCAGCAGGUGGAUCCCCAGUGUUGCAGGGACAUCCAGAGAAUGCUAAGGAUCACGGUAAGGUAUGGUUAAAUGUUUUCCCACAGAAACCAGACGACAUGAAUUCUGAUUAUCAGGGAGAGGAGUUGAGGUGUCAUUCACCUCUACAGCCUGUGGACUGUACUCCCGACUCCAGCGACGACAAGGUAGGUGAUGAUGACUGUACUAGCAGCUCCAGUAAAGAGGAGUUUGGUCAUGAAUACCAGGGUGACUUUAAAUCCCGACUUAGGGUUGUCCAGGUCCUUGGACCAAACAUUAAAUUCCUGUGGGGCGUAGGAGUGCUUGAAGAGUCAUUCAAACAUCUGAAAAAGACAGUUGAUGAACUGAGCUCCGGUGACAGUAGCCCGACAAUGAACCGUGCCAAAGCUGCGUCACGGCUGCUUGAGAUUCUUCCCCCAAAUUUCAAAUACAUAAAAGACAUCGGGGUGGCUCAGAAGCCUCAGGAAGACACGGCUCUCUCUACUUCACUUGAACUUGCAUGUGGACUUGACAAACGGGAGGCGGAUGCUGCGAAGGAGGACGACUCAUCAUUUAAGCUUAGUUUUGGUACCGUGCUUCCUUCCAGUUUUAAAUUCUCACCUGGACUUGACAAACCCAAAGAGCUCAUUUUGUCCCCUGAUGACUCCAGACCCAUCAGUUCCUCACAUCAUCAAGUAGUUUUGGAAAAGAGCAUGGCCCACGUGACAUCUGUGACAGACAAAAACAGAAAGAGGACAAAAGACAGUGUUACUGAAGAGGAGCUCCCUGCCAAGAGGACCAGGAAAUGUGAUGAUGAAAAGGAACACCCUGCCAUACCGUCCACUCUGGAAUAGGCCCUUGAAAGCAUCAACAGAAGAUUGGCAUGGAGAUAUGUCUUGAUAGCCAUAAAGAUCUCGUUCUGUUAUCCCCUCUCCUCAGCUCCUUCUGUAGGAACCUCCUCUUGUUUUUAUUAAAGCCAAUGGCUUUCCUAAUAGUCACAAGGUGCGCUGCAAUAUAGUAAAUUAUUCUCACCUGUUCCUCCACUAAUCCACUCUCCUAGUUUUCAUCUUUCAGGUGUUAGAUGCUCAUCGCUGGAUUCUUUCGUCAUUGUCCAUGUGGUUCCUGUCUUUCUGGUUCCCUUGUUUUUCACACUGCUUGCUGUGCUGAUGGAAGGAGGAUCAGGCAUAAAGCAGAGGACCUGCUGAUAUCAUAAAUGAGUACUGGACCAAUCAGAAGAGAGACGACACAGAGGACUGAGAAGACACGGAAAAUCCUGCUGGGAAUCCAGAGAUUUGACAGGAGGACACCGGAGGACGGGACGCAGAACAAAGAGACAGAUCAUCUGACGUGGAUCCUCAUCAAUCUGUAAACCUCCAGCUUCAUCACCACCAGUCAAGUGGAGGAAGACAAGAGAGCCCUGUUGACGACAAAAAAACAACUCAUGCUGGUCAACUCCUUGACCUGAGUUGACCAUCAAUUGAAGCAGAAGGCCUUUUCCACCUGCUGAUCUACUGGUUGAUUAAAAGAUUGUGGAAAGGACAAAAAAAGAGAUGGCUCUCUCCCGGACAUCCUGAUGUUUGAACACACCGCCUCCGCCUGGAAUUCUGCCACCACCCAAACUGAGUUUGCAGGCCACAUCUGGCUUUUCUGUCAGUAGCACCUGGUUAAACGCGAUCAAAACGCCGAUGUUCCAGACAUACAAUCAGUUCAAAAGACAUGGACUUUGGGAUACAAAACUUCCCUGGAUUUUGACUUUCUUAAUGUAUUUUUGAGUUUGGAUAAUUUCUUGUUUUUGUAUUUAAUUCGACUGUGGCGCUGUUGGUCCGCCUAUAAAUAGACUGGAUUUUGACAUGUGUGUGAAGUAGAUCUGCCCUUUCUCGUUUUUACAUCCAGCUGGGGUGCGAGUACAUAACCAGUGGCUGUAGGGCGCAGUUGACUUCUCCAGCCUGCCAUGCAGUAGUUUUUGAUAGACUUUGCUUGUUUGCUUUUUUAUUGAGAUUUUGGCCUGGUGGGGCUGGUUGUCCUAUUUUCGUUUCUUUCUUUUGCAGUAGGUUCUUUUUUUCUUUCUUUUUGCUGUAGUCCGGUACUAGCAAGGGCUUCGACGGCCCUAUUUGGGGUUGGCCCCCUGCUGUACCUUCUUGUUCUGUCUGACCGGCUCACCAUGUCCAUCUUUCUGUUAAUAUUAUUUUUAUUUUUUUAUUUUUAUUUUUCUUGGACACGGGGACUGAGGGUAUUUGAUUAUUUAUUUAACCGAAAGAAAUUUCCUGGAGAGUUUUUGAAUAAAUAGAAUAUUUGAAUCCUCA